GUCGAACGAUGAUCCGGUGCUUGCACCGGUGAUUAGUGGCGAACGGGUGAGUAACACGUGAGUAACCUGCCCUUGACUCUGGGAUAAGCCUGGGAAACUGGGUCUAAUACCGGAUAUGACCACUCCACGCAUGUGGUGGUGGUGGAAAGCUUUUGCGGUUUUGGAUGGACUCGCGGCCUAUCAGCUUGUUGGUGGGGUAAUGGCCUACCAAGGCGACGACGGGUAGCCGGCCUGAGAGGGUGACCGGCCACACUGGGACUGAGACACGGCCCAGACUCCUACGGGAGGCAGCAGUGGGGAAUAUUGCACAAUGGGCGAAAGCCUGAUGCAGCGACGCCGCGUGAGGGAUGACGGCCUUCGGGUUGUAAACCUCUUUCAGUAGGGAAGAAGCGAAAGUGACGGUACCUGCAGAAGAAGCGCCGGCUAACUACGUGCCAGCAGCCGCGGUAAUACGUAGGGCGCAAGCGUUAUCCGGAAUUAUUGGGCGUAAAGAGCUCGUAGGCGGUUUGUCGCGUCUGCUGUGAAAGACCGGGGCUCAACUCCGGUUCUGCAGUGGGUACGGGCAGACUAGAGUGAUGUAGGGGAGACUGGAAUUCCUGGUGUAGCGGUGAAAUGCGCAGAUAUCAGGAGGAACACCGAUGGCGAAGGCAGGUCUCUGGGCAUUAACUGACGCUGAGGAGCGAAAGCAUGGGGAGCGAACAGGAUUAGAUACCCUGGUAGUCCAUGCCGUAAACGUUGGGCACUAGGUGUGGGGGACAUUCCACGUUUUCCGCGCCGUAGCUAACGCAUUAAGUGCCCCGCCUGGGGAGUACGGCCGCAAGGCUAAAAUCAUGA
rnacentral:rRNA from 1 species